UAACACGUGGGCAACCUGCCUAUGAGACUGGGAUAACUCCGGGAAACCGGGGCUAAUACCGGAUAAUUCUUUUCUACACAUGUAGAAAAGCUGAAAGAUGGUUUCGGCUAUCACUCAUAGAUGGGCCCGCGGCGCAUUAGCUAGUUGGUGAGGCAACGGCUCACCAAGGCGACGAUGCGUAGCCGACCUGAGAGGGUGAUCGGCCACACUGGGACUGAGACACGGCCCAGACUCCACGGGAGGCAGCAGUG
rnacentral:rRNA from 1 species